rnacentral:rRNA from 1 species
GAAUGCUGACAUAAGUAACGAUAAAGCGGGUGAAAAGCCCGCUCGCCGGAAGACCAAGGGUUCCUGUCCAACGUUAAUCGGGGCAGGGUGAGUCGACCCCUAAGGCGAGGCCGAAAGGCGUAGUCGAUGGGAAACGGGUUAAUAUUCCCGUACUUGGUGUUACUGCGAAGGGGGGACGGAGAAGGCUAUGUUGGCCGGGCGACGGUUGUCCCGGUUUAAGCGUGUAGGUGUGUGUUCCAGGUAAAUCCGGUUCACUUUAACACUGAGGCGUGACGACGAGGCACUACGGUGCUGAAGCAACAAAUGCCCUGCUUCCAGGAAAAGCCUCUAAGCAUCAGGUAACAUCAAAUCGUACCCCAAACCGACACAGGUGGUCAGGUAGAGAAUACCAAGGCGCUUGAGAGAACUCGGGUGAAGGAACUAGGCAAAAUGGUGCCGUAACUUCGGGAGAAGGCACGCUGACACGUAGGUGAAGUGAUUUACUCAUGGAGCUGAAGUCAGUCGAAGAUACCAGCUGGCUGCAACUGUUUAUUAAAAACACAGCACUGUGCAAACACGAAAGUGGACGUAUACGGUGUGACGCCUGCCCGGUGCCGGAAGGUUAAUUGAUGGGGUCAGCGCAAGCGAAGCUCCUGAUCGAAGCCCCGGUAAACGGCGGCCGUAACUAUAACGGUCCUAAGGUAGCGAAAUUCCUUGUCGGGUAAGUUCCGACCUGCACGAAUGGCGUAAUGAUGGCCAGGCUGUCUCCACCCGAGACUCAGUGAAAUUGAACUCGCUGUGAAGAUGCAGUGUACCCGCGGCAAGACGGAAAGACCCCGUGAACCUUUACUAUAGCUUGACACUGAACAUUGAGCCUUGAUGUGUAGGAUAGGUGGGAGGCUUUGAAGUGUGGACGCCAGUCUGCAUGGAGCCGACCUUGAAAUACCACCCUUUAAUGUUUGAUGUUCUAACGUGGACCCGUAAUCCGGGUUGCGGACAGUGUCUGGUGGGUAGUUUGACUGGGGCGGUCUCCUCCUAAAGAGUAACGGAGGAGCACGAAGGUUGGCUAAUCCUGGUCGGACAUCAGGAGGUUAGUGCAAUGGCAUAAGCCAGCUUGACUGCGAGCGUGACGGCGCGAGCAGGUGCGAAAGCAGGUCAUAGUGAUCCGGUGGUUCUGAAUGGAAGGGCCAUCGCUCAACGGAUAAAAGGUACUCCGGGGAUAACAGGCUGAUACCGCCCAAGAGUUCAUAUCGACGGCGGUGUUUGGCACCUCGAUGUCGGCUCAUCACAUCCUGGGGCUGAAGUAGGUCCCAAGGGUAUGGCUGUUCGCCAUUUAAAGUGGUACGCGAGCUGGGUUUAGAACGUCGUGAGACAGUUCGGUCCCUAUCUGCCGUGGGCGCUGGAGAACUGAGGGGGGCUGCUCCUAGUACGAGAGGACCGGAGUGGACGCAUCACUGGUGUUCGGGUUGUCAUGCCAAUGGCACUGCCCGGUAGCUAAAUGCGGAAGAGAUAAGUGCUGAAAGCAUCUAAGCACGAAACUUGCCCCGAGA